CAGCAGCCGCGGGAAUACGUAGGGUGCAAGCGUUAAUCGGAAUUACUGGGCGUAAAGCGUGCGCAGGCGGUUAUAUAAGUCAGAUGUGAAAUCCCCGGGCUCAACCUGGGAACUGCAUUUGAGACUGUAUGGCUAGAGUGUGUCAGAGGGGGGUAGAAUUCCACGUGUAGCAGUGAAAUGCGUAGAUAUGUGGAGGAAUACCGAUGGCGAAGGCAGCCCCCUGGGAUAACACUGACGCUCAUGCACGAAAGCGUGGGGAGCAAACAGGAUUAGAGACCCCUGUAGUCCCUGUCUCUUAUAC
rnacentral:rRNA from 1 species